rnacentral:lncRNA from 1 species
CUUGAUCUCGAUUUGGCUUGAAUCUGAACUGGUUUGAAAGUUUCGUGGAUUGAUUCAAUGUUUUCGAAAGGGAUUGAAGGGUCCGAAGAAAUGGGGAAUCUUUGAUUCCCCUCUCCUCUUCUUUCGAAAACACCGAACUGAUAAGGUUGGAGGUGACGGCGGCUAUAACGCACUGAACUUUUGCAAAUUAUGAGGUUCGAGUGUUUGAUCCGU